rnacentral:ncRNA from 3 species
GUAGGUGAACUUGCGGAAGGAUCAUUA